ACACGUGCAUGUAGUAUAAGAGAAAUUAUGAAUGAUUUUACAAAAUUAUCUUUCAUUAAUAAUAUUGAAAAGAGAAACUGAUAUAAUUGAAAGAAAGAGAAUAAUAAAUAUUUAAGGAUAUAAUAGAAAAAAUAUCAUUAAUGAUACAUUGAUAUUAUAAAACAACUUAUAUUGUAGUAUAAAAUAUUCUUUCAAAUUGACUUAUAAUAAAAAACGGAAGUAGUACUAAAUAAUAAAAACAGUCAAGAAGAAUUUUGAUAUAGAACUGAAUACACAAUAUAAUAAUAAUAAUAAUAAUAAUAAUAAUAAUAAUAAUAAUAAUAAUAAUGAAAAAGUUCAAAGCAGAAACAAAAGAAAUGUUGGAAUAAAAAUAUGGAAAGUUAAUGCCGACAAAAUUAAAAUACAAACAAUCCAAUAAUAGUCUGAAAUUUUGUAGAAUCUAAAUCUAAAAUGAAGCAAUCUCUCAGUGUGAGAAAAUAAUCACUUUAACAAAAGUAAAUUCCGGCCUAAAAUAAAAAUUUAAAAGCUUUGAUAUUGAAAACCUAGAAGAAUUAGUCUCAAGCUACACAUAUUCCAACCAUUUUUGUAUAGUACUCAUAUCUUAUUGCAAUGUGUUUUAUCCGAAGAUAAUGAAGGUCCAAUGUUGUUUUUAGGUUGGGGCUAACAUUGGCUUACAUCUUUGUCAGAUUUUUUUUGAAAUUUUAACCUGCAAGGGGGACUAAAUAUAUUGCAGGUUAUAUGAGGUAUUUUCUAGGUUCGUAUAAAUAAAAUCAAACAUAUCUUUUCUUCUAGGAUUGAUUCAUGAAAAGUGCAAUAUAUUUCAAAAUAAUCUGACAAAGAUGUAAGCCAAUGUUAGCCCGAACCUAAAAACAUUCGACCUACAUUAUCUUCAAUGGGUUACCCAUUUAUCAAUAUCUCUAAAAGGACAAAAAAAUAAAAAACUUUAUCUUUAUAUUACUUCACAGAUUUUUAAAAUAAAAAUAAAACAGAAAACACUUUUAUACUAGGUAUUUCAAUAAAAUUCUUUGAAUAAUAAAGACAGAUUAUAUCAAUUUUAUUUAAAUGUUCUUAUUUAAAAUUAAUUGCAAGACAAUCAAUUUUAUUUCAAACAGUCAAAGUCAAACUCAUCGCAAGACAAGAAGGUAGCCGAAAUCCUAUAAGGAGCAUGCUGAAAGGAGAUUACAAAUGAUGCUGAAAACUUGCCAAAUGACCUAUAAAGAGUUUUCCCUCAAUUUGUUACCGUUAUAGGAUUGAUUCCAUAUGAUCCUGAAAUGAACAAUAAGGAGAUUGCUAUCCAUUGCUCUCAAUCCGGAUGCUGAAAAAUGCCAAAUGACCAUUAAGGAGAUUGCUCUCAAUUACUCUCACUUGUGAUACAGAAAAACUGCCAAACGACCUUAAGGAUCACGCUUCCUUAUCAAGCAAAGUCAGCCCAAUAUUUUGCCACAUCUUGGGUGGAAUGCGCCUCAACUUGAGGGUUUCUUUGAUUACUUGGGAGUACUGAAUCUUUGAUUACUUGGAGUACUGAAUCAAAAUCUAGACGAAUGUCGGACCUGAUUCCAACGGUUGUCUCCAUCAACACAUCAUGGUUAGUAAUGAAUAAAUCAUGCAAAUAACCCUUACAUUCAUUAAGUUGUUAGUAAUUGCAUUAAUUCAUGGAAAUAACCCCCAACAAUUCUAAUAGGUAGAUGAUAAGGGAGUCAAUAAAAGCAAAAUAUCUAAAACCUUGAUUGACACCGAAAUACUACAGGUUUAAUUUAACUUUAAAAAACUAAUUUCAUAAUUCUAAAUACAAAAAAAAUUAAGUAUAAAACAAACAUUAAAAAAUGUAAAAGACAAGCCAAACUCGCUAUCCACAAAGAAAGUAGCGCAAGCAUUAAACAUCUGUCAUUUGAUAUCAGGAGAUUCUCAAAAGCAAAUGCAUAUAAUCACUACCAAAAUUUACAUUCGGGUUUCAUAUACACUUUGCUUAAUCCUCCAAAGUUAAAAAUACAACUAACCAUCACAUCACAAAAACUAGAAGUAAGGUAAAUAACUUCGGUAUAAUGAAUUUCAAAUGGAUCAGAUUAUUUGGCUUGAUUUCUCAAAAGAGAAACAAAUUCGCACAGUAUGUUCAGCUUCGAUCAUCUGGGGAAAUAAUCAUCAAAUCCAAAUUAUAUUCCAUAUAAAAAAACUGAGCAAUUAAAAUUACAAAUAGAAACAAAUAACACAAAUAAACAUUGAUAACUACUAAUUACUAUGGGUCAGAUUAUUUGGCUUGAUUUCUCCAAAGAGAAACAAAUUCGCACAGUUUUUUCAGCUUCGAUCAUCUGGGGAAAUUAUCAUCACACCCAAAAAGUAAAAUUACAAUGCAACCUAAGCAUUAACUUAUCAUGUUAUUCACUAAUACACUUCAAAACAAUUAUUUAAAAAAAAAGACAUAUUAGAAUUGUAACAAUGGAUCAGAUUAUUUGGCUUGAUUUCUCAAAAGAGAAACAAAUUCGCACAGUAUGUUCAGUUUCGAUCAUCUGGGGAAAAAAUCAUCACAUCCAAUUACCAAACAACUCUUAUGAUGUAAAAAUUGAACAUAAUGACACAAAAUUCACAGCCAUUGAUUUUGAAUCAAAUUUCAGUACAACAAAAUGGAUCAGAUAAUUUGGCUUGAUUUCUCAAAAGAGAAACAAAAUUCGCACAGUAUCAUCAGUUUCGAUCACCUGGGGAAAUUAUCAUCACAUCCAAUUUAUCAAUAAAACAGAUCUUUCGCAUUCAACUCAUCAGCAAUAAACACAAUCCCGAUAAAUAAACAAAAAUUAAUGAAUCAGAAAAAAAAUUCAACAAGAGGGAGAAUAUUCCUAUCUGCAAUAGAACUGAAUCAAACAAAAGAAAACAGAGCUUAAAGAAUUGCAGAGAGAAAUCGAUUUGGCGUCAGCUCAUACUCAAAGCUCACACGAUUCAGAGCAUUGGUAAUCAGUAUUUUGACGCUAAAAAAAUUAGGCAAACCCUAAAUCGAAAAUUGAAACAACCACUGCAAAAGACAGAAGCUAUGAGAGAGUGUAAUUGAUAAUAUUAGAGAAGAGAGGCGAAGGUGUUUAUAAAGGAGAAAACGAAAGAAAGAGUCUGCGGCUACAAAACCCUAAUUUAGUUUGUGCGAAAGAAACCCGGGUUGGCCUUCAAGAUUGGAUUAGCCCAUAUAUUCUAAUGGCCCAGCAUAAAAGUUGAAAGAAA
rnacentral:lncRNA from 1 species